AGUUGAAAAAAAGAAUUGAACUUUUCACAUAUAGCCCCUAAAACUACCGCAUUUCCCAGUCUGCUAUCCCAAC
rnacentral:tRNA from 1 species